GGUGGCCUAGUGGUUAGUGCGUCUGCAUCGGAUGCGGGAGGUCGUGGGUUCGAUCCUCGGCGUAGUUAUACCA